GACGAACGCUGGCGGCGUGCUUAACACAUGCAAGUCGAACGGAAAGGCCCUGCUUUUGUGGGGUGCUCGAGUGGCGAACGGGUGAGUAACACGUGAGUAACCUGCCCUUGACUUUGGGAUAACUUCAGGAAACUGGGGCUAAUACCGGAUAGGAGCUCCUGCUGCAUGGUGGGGGUUGGAAAGUUUCGGCGGUUGGGGAUGGACUCGCGGCUUAUCAGCUUGUUGGUGGGGGAGUGGCUUACCAAGGCAUUGGCGGGUAGUCGGCCCGAGAGGGUGACCGCCGACAAGGGGACUAAGAUACGGAGCAGUCUGCAAUGGUAGACAGCAGUGGGAAAUAUGAUACAAUGGGCGGAAGUGUGUGAAAGAAGGGCCGCGUUUGUGAUGACGUCCUUCUGGGUGUAAACCGCUGUCGCCUGUGACGAAGCUUGAGUGACGUUAAUGGGUAAAGAAGCACCGGCUAACUACGUG
rnacentral:rRNA from 1 species